UGAGGAACAUGACCUUCGGCGGGGGAUAGCCGGCCCAACGGCCGGGUAAUACCGCGUACGACCACAUGGGGACAUCCCUGAGUGGUGAAAGCAGCAAUGCGCCGAUGGAGUGCCUCGCGGCCUAUCAGCUAGUUGGGUGGGGUAACGCCCACAAGGCGACGACGGGUAGCUGGUCUGAGAGGAUGGCCAGCCACAGUUGGGACUGAGACACGGCCAGACUCC
rnacentral:rRNA from 1 species